rnacentral:misc_RNA from 1 species
GGUGUUGAGAAUAUUGUUUCAUGCUGUACUAAAAAAUAUAAACUAUAAAUAUAAUGGAAAAAAAAUUGUUAGUUGCUGUUUGUUUAGCUAAAGACGCCCAGAAUUUAAGAGAAACUCUACAGUCCUGUGGAAUCUAUGACUCAGCUCGGAAAGCAAGGAGAUUAGAUGAUAAGAUCGCACUGCCUUUGACAAGACUUGGAUGUGAGACUAAUGAAGAAGGAUGUACUAAAAUCGUUAAACCACCUGACAUUCCACUGCCUAUAGAUUUGAACACGUCUUGUGCUUUGAAUGGGGUUUUAUUUACCAUACAGAAAUCACAUACUGAACCAUCUCCUCGAACUAAGUCGAUCUCUCUGCAAGAGGAUCUUUUUGAAAAACUGAAACUGUUGAUGGAAAGGAAGGGAGUGUGGAGCUCAUCAUUGCUUGCAUCUAUUCCUAAACACUGGGAAAGACAUGAUGAUAUGGUGUUGUUACCAAGUUCUUGUUUUACAGAACCUGUGUGGCAGACCUGUGUUCCUGAGGUGUGGAAUGUUGUUGCAGAGACUCUGCGAUGUCGAAGGUUAGCCAAGAAGAACAGAAUCCAGAAGAAUGAUUUCCGUACACCCAAUGUAGAACUUCUUAAAGGAGAAAACGGAUGGGUUGUUCACAAGGAUAAUGGAAUCAAAUACACCUAUGAUGUUAGAAAAUGUAUGUUCAGUGCUGGAAAUAUUUCAGAAAAGCUUAGAGUGGCCAAAUUUCACUGUAGUGGAGAAACAGUGGUAGAUUUGUAUGCUGGUAUCGGCUACUUCACCCUCCCUUAUUUAAUCCAUGCUAACGCCAAAUGUGUUCAUGCCUGUGAAUGGAACAAUGAAGCUGUGGAAGCACUCCGUAAAAACUUGGUUUUAAACAAAGUAACAGAUAAAUGUGUGAUUCACAUUGGGGACAAUAGAGAGGUAUGUCCAAGAGGAGUAGCCGAUAGGGUCAACUUGGGACUACUUCCAUCUUCAGAACCGGGGUGGAAAACUGCUUGUCUCGCACUCAAGCGGGAAACAGGAGGCAUUUUACAUGUUCAUGCUAACGUCAACUCAAAACAAACUUCUGUAAAUGGUUCCAGUGUAGUGCCGGGACAGAAUGAUCUCGGAGAUGACAGUUUCGUAACUGAACCUGUCGAAGUCUUCAGUCAUUCUAUUGGUGAUUCAAGGAAGGAAAACGGCAGCGAUGAUACACCUAAUAAACCUUUAUUGAUGACAUCAAGACAGUUCAAUCAUUCUACAUGGUACCAGUGGGCUUCACGAGUUUCUGAACAUUUUAAAGACCUUUUUCUUAAACUUUACAGUGAAGAGUGGACAAUCUGUGUACUUCACGUUGAACACGUUAAAUCGUAUGCUCCCUACAUUGAUCACCUCGUUGUAGACCUCAAAUGUAAACCUUCCCCACACCAGAGUACGUGAACUUAAAAUCCUUCUUAAACUUUACGGUGAAGAGUGGACAAUCUGUGUACUUCACGUUGAACACCUCAAAUGUAAACCUACCCCACACUAGAGUACGUGAACUUAAAAUUCCAUCCAAAUUUUUCAGCUAAGCCUUGCCCUCACAGAAGCAGUCGUAAAGAUAAAACUAUCAAGCUUCUUAUAAUUAUAGUACUGUUUAUCUAUUAACAUUGUUUUGUAAGUCAUUUAAAUAUCUAACAAUGAUUGAGAAUUACAUUAGUGUACGUGUAAUCUACACCAGGUGGAGUUAUAACAAAAAAAAUUGCAUAGAUAAACUUUUAAUAAUCAUUUACAUCAAAAUAACAUAUCCAAAGAUAAAGCUUGUGGAUUCUUCAUAUUGUCAUUAUGCGUAAGAUUGAAAAAAAAAUUAACCGUCAUAAAUGAUAAGAG